GGCUGUCUCCGUGCCCAGGGUGGGGGUGUCACCAUCCCCAGGGGUGUCACUGUCCCCAGGGGUGUCACCCCCCAAAGUGUCCCCAGGGGUGUCACCGUCCCCAGGGGUGUCACCCCCCAGAGUGUCCCCAGGGGUGUCACUGUCCCCAGGGGUGUCACCAUCUCCAGAGGGUCCCCAGGGGUGUCACUGUCCCCAGGGGUGUCACCAUCUCCAGAAGGUCCCCAGGGGUGUCACUCCCUGGGGUGUUCCCCAGAGUGUCCUUGUCCCCAGGGGGUCCCCAGGGGGAGGGUGUCACUCCGUAGGGUGUCACCGUACCCAGGGUGGGGGUGUCACCAUCCCCAGGGUGUCCCCAGGGGUGUCACCAUCCCCGGGGUGUCUCCAGGGUGUCCCCGUCCCUUCCCCCGCAGGCGCCACGGCUGGAGCCACAUUAAAGACCUUUGGGGACAUCAUGGCCUCCUCCUCUGUGGGGGGAGGGGCGCUGGGGACCGCGUGACGUCACCCACCAGUCCAGACUGGGAACCCACCUCUGCCCCGCCCCCCAGUUCUGACCUUCACCUGGAGGGGGUGACCCCAUCUCCUGCUCUGGUGGGACAUCUCUGGCCAGGGCUCAGGUGGCCUCAAGGCUUGGCCGCCUCCCCUGGGGCCAGGUGGCCACUAAGGCUCGAGAAGGUCUCGAAGGUCAACUUUGGGCAUCGAUGGAGAAGCCCAUUGAGGAGCCCACCUCCAUGGAGACACCAGAACUCCUGAGAUCAGUUCAAGGGCCGAGCCACGAGGAUGAGGUUGAAGAUGUUGGAGAACAUUCGGUCAAAGCCCACCUUAGACUGGAGGUCACCACUUGAGGUAGUUGAUCACUUGACUGGUCCAAGCAUCCCAAAAUUCUCCAGUGUCUGUCCUCUGGUCAGUAUGGUGCCCACGGACACCAGAACAUCUCAGGUGUCCAUGGUGGGUGCUCAGAACCACCUUUGGCCUGGAGACUCUUCCAUCUUCUCACUGGCAAACUGGUGAUGACAGAUGAGGAGAAGGUUGGGAUUCUCAAGAACCUCAGUCUUCACUGGUGACCUCUUCCCACUUCUCUCCAGUGGAUGGACCUGAGGCAGGGACCACAGAAAGAGAAGAUCCUUCUUCUCAAUGUUGGUGAGAUAUGGCUUCUGUGGAGAGACGGAGAAAUUGCUUGGCUGGUGGCACUCAGAGGGUGGUGGUCAACCUCAGGAGGUUCAACAAGACCAAGUGGAAAGUCCUGCACGUGGGUGGGGGAAACCCAGGCUGGGAGAUGAAAUGAUGGAGAGCAACCAUGACAAGAAGAACUGGGGUGAUGAGAAGCUGGUGGUGAAACAGUGGACUACAGUGGGCUGGAGGUGGAGACCUGCUCCAGCUUGGACCCAGGCACCUUCUCAAGCUCAUGGUCAAAUCCACCAGGGCAC
rnacentral:lncRNA from 1 species